AGCAGGACGACCCCCAGUGGAUGGGCGCCGAGGGGUGUGGUGUUCCUCCAGCAGCUCUCUCAUGAGGUUCUCUCUGUAUUUUUGGUGGUCCACCUUCCCUGUGGCCGACAUGGUUGCUGUAUGGACAGUGGAGAGGACAUGGACGUCUCGCUUGUCAUGCCACUUUACUGCCAGCUGUUGACCGUUCUCUUGGAACUCCACCUCCCCUCUCUGCAUCUUCCUGCAUCCGAAUGCCGGCAUCCCCUUCCUGUUCGACCUGACUGUGCCACAUGCCCCUGUGCUGUUGGAGAGCAGAUGCUGGAAGAGUGUGGGACUGCUGUACCAAUUGUCCACGUACAAAGUGUGUCCCUUGCCGAGAUGAGGAGCCAGCAUGGUCAUCACCACGGACCCUGACACCCCAAGCCCAUCAUAAUGUUUGAUGUCAGUGGUGGACCCUGUGUAAACUAUAAUAUCCUGGACAAAUCCUGUCUUCACGUCGCACAUGACAAAGAACUUGACUCCAAACCUGUGCCUUUUGGAGGGAAUAUAUUGACGGAACGCCAGCCUACCUUUCCAUAACAUCAGGGACUCAUCAAUGCAUAGGUCCUUGUAUGGCACAAAGACCCGACCAAAUGCUGAUGUCAGGCUGAUAAGAACAUUUCUUAUUUUGUAUAACGGGUCACUUAGGAUGGCAGUAGCAUUGUUGACAAAAUGCAGGCAUCGCAGAAGAACUAGGAAGCGAUCUUGGGAAAAGAGGGAGGCAAAGAAGGGAGUUGCAAACAUAGGAUCUGUGCUCCAGUAUUCUCUUAGGGAGUUCUUCUUUACUAUUCCCAUGAGAAGGACUGUCACCAGGAAGGUAUACAUUUCACUAAUUGUGGUUGUCACCCAUUUAGCGAGUUUCCCCUCACUCCUGGCUCUCUCUUCUCCUGUAGCUCUAAGGCAUAGCGAUUGGUCUCCUCAACUAUCUCUCCCACCAGCUCCUCUGUGAGAAACAACUUGAAGCACUCUGCCUCAGUUGGAAAUGGCAAGGGCGUUGCACUCCAGACUGGGACUCGUCAAAGCAGACAGCAGGGCCAGGUGGGGUGAAAUGACUGGUGGCCUUCCAGCUACCACAGAACUCCUGUACUUCAUCCACUGUCGGCCUGCCUCCAUCACCACCAGCAUCUUCAAAGGGACCUGGUACUUCCUCAGUUGACAAGGGAAAUUUAGAUUCAGGGUUCUCAAUGGCUACAAGGUUGAGGGGCAGCUCCUCACUGUCACUGUCAGAAUCUGAUUCCUGACUUUCAUACUCAGACUCAUGGUCAGAAUUUAAAAAAAUCUCCAGAAUUUCCACAUUUGUGAGUUGUCUCCUUUUGAAAGACAUUGUUAAAUGCUACAGUUUAGCUCACUAGCUACAUACAUAAACAACAACACUGAAUGGCGCAGAGUGGGAGGUUACGUGGUUGACUGCCGGCACGCGCCACUUGUAUCAAUAAAUCACUAUCAGAAAAUG